GUCCAGGUCUUUCAGAGUCACUGACACACCAGCAGAACAAUGAAGAUGUUACUGACUCUACUGCUGACCACCCUGGAGCUCCUGGUUCAGGGUUCGUCAGGAGACAUAAUCAUGAGUCAGACUCCAGGAUCUCUGUCUGUUGUUCCAGGACAGACUGUCUCCAUUAAAUGUAAAGCCAGUGAAUAUGUUAGCAAUGAGGUAGACUGGUACCUUCAGAAACCUGGAGAAGCUCCUAAACUGCUUAUUUAUUGGACAUCAAAUAGUCAGCCUGGAGUUUCUGAUCGUUUCAGUGGAAGUCAGUCUGGAACUGAUUUCACUCUGACCAUCAGCAGAGUUCAGGCUGAAGAUGCAGGAGUUUAUUACUGUCAGCAGGACUACAGCACACCGUUCACACAGUGAUACAACGUGGUACAAAAACCUCCCUCAGCUGCAGAGGAACUGAUCCACAGCUGCACUGAAGCAGAAGAUGAACAUAAAAUAAUGUUCAUAGAUUGCAAAAUAAAAAAUGUAUUUAUCAAUUAAAAUAAUUUUUU